rnacentral:rRNA from 1 species
CUGAUUUGAAGAGCUUGCUCAGAUAUGACGAUGGACAUUGCAAAGAGUGGCGAACGGGUGAGUAACACGUGGGAAACCUACCUCUUAGCAGGGGAUAACAUUUGGAAACAGAUGCUAAUACCGUAUAACAAUGACAACCGCAUGGUUGUUAUUUAAAAGAUGGUUCUGCUAUCACUAAGAGAUGGUCCCGCGGUGCAUUAGCUAGUUGGUAAGGUAAUGGCUUACCAAGGCGAUGAUGCAUAGCCGAGUUGAGAGACUGAUCGGCCACAAUGGGACUGAGACACGGCCCAUACUCCUACGGGAGGCAGCAGUAGGGAAUCUUCCACAAUGGGCGAAAGCCUGAUGGAGCAACGCCGCGUGUGUGAUGAAGGGUUUCGGCUCGUAAAACACUGUUGUAAGAGAAGAAUGACAUUGAGAGUAACUGUUCAAUGUGUGACGGUAUCUUACCAGAAAGGAACGGCUAAAUACGUGCCAGCAGCCGCGGUAAUACGUAUGUUCCAAGCGUUAUCCGGAUUUAUUGGGCGUAAAGCGAGCGCAGACGGUUAUUUAAGUCUGAAGUGAAAGCCCUCAGCUCAACUGAGGAAUUGCUUUGGAAACUGGAUGACUUGAGUGCAGUAGAGGAAAGUGGAACUCCAUGUGUAGCGGUGAAAUGCGUAGAUAUAUGGAAGAACACCAGUGGCGAAGGCGGCUUUCUGGACUGUAACUGACGUUGAGGCUCGAAAGUGUGGGUAGCAAACAGGAUUAGAUACCCUGGUAGUCCACACCGUAAACGAUGAGUGCUAGGUGUUUGAGGGUUUCCGCCCUUAAGUGCCGCAGCUAACGCAUUAAGCACUCCGCCUGGGGAGUACGACCGCAAGGUUGAAACUCAAAGGAAUUGACGGGGACCCGCACAAGCGGUGGAGCAUGUGGUUUAAUUCGAAGCAACGCGAAGAACCUUACCAGGUCUUGACAUCCCUUGACAACUCCAGAGAUGGAGCGUUCCCUUCGGGGACAAGGUGACAGGUGGUGCAUGGUUGUCGUCAGCUCGUGUCGUGAGAUGUUGGGUUAAGUCCCGCAACGAGCGCAACCCUUAUUACUAGUUGCCAGCAUUCAGUUGGGCACUCUAGUGAGACUGCCGGUGACAAACCGGAGGAAGGUGGGGAUGACGUCAAAUCAUCAUGCCCCUUAUGACCUGGGCUACACACGUGCUACAAUGGCGUAUACAACGAGUUGCCAACCCGCGAGGGUGAGCUAAUCUCUUAAAGUACGUCUCAGUUCGGAUUGUAGGCUGCAACUCGCCUACAUGAAGUCGGAAUCGCUAGUAAUCGCGGAUCAGCACGCCGCGGUGAAUACGUUCCCGGGUCUUGUACACACCGCCCGUCACACCAUGAGAGUUUGUAACACCCAAA